GGUGGCUCAGUGGUAGAGUGCUUGCCUUGCAUGCAAGAGGCCCUGGGUUUGAUUCCCCAGCACCA
rnacentral:tRNA from 1 species